GCUACCAUGUAAACAUGGAAAUCAUGCAACCAUCAGAAUAAAAGAACCUAUCAGAAGCACAUAUCAAAUCAUGCAACCAUCAGAAUAAAAGAUUUUUACAGUUCUAUCACCAUAGUCAUGUCAUUAAAAAGAGACAUAUCCUACAUAAACAUAUAUAUCAAGCCUAAACAAGUAGUAAACAUGUUUACACCCCAUGAGCAGCCAAGAAGCAAGAAGCAAUAGCCAGUACUACUGCCUCAAGCCCUUGAACACAAAAAGGCGAGAACUGGAUGCAGAGGUUUAUCGAUCGAUUCCCGCGUUGUCGUUGGCUGCAACAAGGACCAAAAGGAAGAAAAAAAAAGAACACCCUCUCAAAGAAAUUCGCCGCUCCUGGAUCAGCGCCACAAGGCAGGGAAGGGAUCGAUAAACCACUGCGCCCAGGCAUCACCACCAACCCCCCACCCCCACCUGCGAACAUGAUGGAUUAGCGCAAGAAACCGGAACAAAACAAGAACGGAACACAGAGCCACCUGCAAGAUCGGGCACGAACGAACACUCGUGGGUGUGAAUCUGUGUUUCUCGUGUGUGCAAUGAGUAAGG
rnacentral:precursor_RNA from 2 species